AUCUCCUGUAACAUCGACAAAUUCAGUGUUUUACUCUACAGACAGCCUGCAAGCAUACAGUAAAAAUCAGCUGCACUUUGCACAUCAAACCCUUUCAUUGCUAGAUGAUUUUCAGUGUAGCAUGCAAGUAAAAAUGUGCACAUAUUAAAAGUCUUGAG